rnacentral:rRNA from 1 species
AGAGUUUGAUCCUGGCUCAGGAUGAACGCUAGCGACAGGCUUAACACAUGCAAGUCGAGGGGCAGCAUGGUAGGUAGCAAUACUUAUUGAUGGCGACCGGCGCACGGGUGAGUAACGCGUAUGCAACUUACCUAUCAGAGGGGGAUAGCCCGGCGAAAGUCGGAUUAAUACUCCAUAAAACAAGGGUCCCGCAUGGGAAUAUUUGUUAAAGAUUUAUCGCUGAUAGAUAGGCAUGCGUUCCAUUAGGCAGUUGGCGGGGUAACGGCCACCAAACCGACGAUGGGAUAGGGGUUCUGGAGAGGAAGGUCCCCCACGAUUGGUACUGAGACACGGACCAAACUCCUACGGGAGGCA